AUGAACGCUGGCGGCGUGCUUAACACAUGCAAGUCGAACGAUGAAGCCCAGCUUGCUGGGUGGAUUAGUGGCGAACGGGUGAGUAACACGUGAGUAACCUGCCCUUAACUCUGGGAUAAGCCUGGGAAACUGGGUCUAAUACCGGAUAGGAGCGUCCACCGCAUGGUGGGUGUUGGAAAGAUUUAUCGGUUUUGGAUGGACUCGCGGCCUAUCAGCUUGUUGGUGAGGUAAUGGCUCACCAAGGCGACGACGGGUAGCCGGCCUGAGAGGGUGACCGGCCACACUGCGACUGAGACACGGCCCAGACUCCUACGGGAGGCAGCAGUGGGGAAUAUUGCACAAUGGGCGCAAGCCUGAUGCAGCGACGCCGCGUGUGGGAUGACGGCCUUCGGGUUGUAAACCUCUUUCAGUAGGGAAGAAGCGAAAGUGACGGUACCUGCAGAAGAAGCACCGGCUAACUACGUG
rnacentral:rRNA from 1 species